UCCUGCGUCUUUGAUGAUCUUCUGUACAGCAAGAAACACUUAGGCUUGGAGAGAGGAGCUCAGGGCUUGGUACAGAAGGAGAACCAUACCUCUGGCCCCUUUCAGGGGUGGGGGUUCUGCAGUGAAGUGGUGUGCGGUGAAGUGGGGCCUUGUCCCACUUACUCGUUCCCUACCCUGUGGAUUUAGCAUCUUCUGUGGAUGAUUAGGAAAUGAUGACUGAAUGAAUGAGCCCAGAUUAGCAAACUGGAGCUUUGCACUGCAAACUUCGGUGGAUCUGUGAUACAAAGAGAUACAAGUGGCAUUUGACUUAAAACUUGUUCUCAGUGUGGUCAGGAAUCCAGGAGCAGCUCAGCUGGUGGUUCUGAGGAGUCUGGGUCUCUCAUGAGGCUGCAAUCCAGGAGCAAGACUCCGGGUCCAGGCCACGCUGCAGGGCAGGAGAUCGUCCACGAGCAUGGAGAGCAAGAAGCCGCAAUCAUCCCAAAUGCUGCCUGUCUGGAUAGUUACACGAUGGUCUGUGAAUUUCCAAUUUGAGCAGAGUUGCCAGAGAAAAUACAGGAAGCCCAACUAAAUUUUAAUUUCAGAGUCUUGGACAGAGGCAUGUUGGUGGGUGGAGCCUUCUGUGUCCUUUCCUUUAAGGGGGCCAGCAUUCAAGAAUCCUAGCUUUUCACAGAGACCUCAGUUCCAGCUUUUUCCAAAACCUCAUCUGCUGUCUUCACCUGGUGUUAACAAAGGCUGUGGCUGUGGGGUGUGUUUCUGGGUCGGGUAACUCCCUGCUCCCACCCGGCGACUGCACCUGUGAAUCACACUAUAUUGCUCUGUCUUUGGUUCCCUUUGUUUCUAGCAUCUGGGGGGCUCUUGUUAGUCAAUUUAAUUUUGCAUUUUAAAUAAACUUUGUCAUAUUUUAUCCAACAUUUUUAGAUAUGUGUAGCUGGAAGCAUUUCACAUUAGUUGACUCUGCCACAUACCCACUCUUGGAAGCCUAGUCUCUGGGGUUUAUUUAAAGCAAGAUAACUAGCUCCCCCGGAUGUUAGCUCACUGUCAAUGUCGGGUUCAGUGUCAAUCAUGCAGAAAAGGUCCUGUUUUUCUUGUGUGAUAUCUUAUUAUAGUUUAUAGAUCAGUUAAGUUCUUGUACUUUAGUAGAUUCCUCAAAAUGCGGUUCCAAUAUUGAAAUAAUUGCAUGUCAUUCUGUCUCCAUU